rnacentral:rRNA from 1 species
AUUGAACGCUGGCGGCAGGCCUAACACAUGCAAGUCGAGCGGAUGAAGGGAGCUUGCUCCUGGAUUCAGCGGCGGACGGGUGAGUAAUGCCUAGGAAUCUGCCUGGUAGUGGGGGAUAACGUCCGGAAACGGGCGCUAAUACCGCAUACGUCCUGAGGGAGAAAGUGGGGGAUCUUCGGACCUCACGCUAUCAGAUGAGCCUAGGUCGGAUUAGCUAGUUGGUGGGGUAAAGGCCUACCAAGGCGACGAUCCGUAACUGGUCUGAGAGGAUGAUCAGUCACACUGGAACUGGGACACGGUCCAGACUCCUACGGGAGGCAGCAGUGGGGAAUAUUGGACAAUGGGCGAAAGCCUGAUCCAGCCAUGCCGCGUGUGUGAAGAAGGUCUUCGGAUUGUAAAGCACUUUAAGUUGGGAGGAAGGGCAGUAAGUUAAUACCUUGCUGUUUUGGCGUUACCAACAGAAUAAGCACCGGCUAACUUCGUG